AGUCUGCAUCUGCACAGAGCCAGAAAUUACAGUAGAAAUGAAACAUUUUCUAUCUGGUUUAUUCUAUUCCCGUUGUUUGUUUUGUGAGGGUUUUUGUUUUUUGGGUGGCUGUUUCUUUCUUUCUUUCUUUCUUUCUUUCUUUCUUUCUUUCUUUCUUUCUUUCUUUCUUUCUUUCUUUUUUUUUUUUUUUUUUGCCUCUCAGACUGGCAGACCCUCAAAUGCCGGAAAGACAUUGAAAUCAGUUGUUUAUGAAGGAGAAAAUAAAAGUCUUCCUACUCGAUUAAAAUAUGGCUGCAUUCCAUAGCCUCUCAUCUAGAUCUCUUUAGCUGAAACACUGCUGGAAGGUUCGAAAACCAAAAUGAGAACAUAAAAAAGAAUGGAAGAGAAUAUAAUAUUAUUUGCAGCUCCAAACCAAUAAAGAUCCCGUCUUCUUCACAAAACCACCUACUAAGACAUCACAGAAUCAUGGAAUCACAGAAUUGUAGGGGCUGGAAGAGAACUCUGGAGAUCAUUGAGUUCAACCAACUGCUAAAGCAUUUCCAUACAGCGGGUUGCACAGACUGAACAGUCCCAGGUCUCUCAGCCUUUCCUUAUAAGGAAAAUGCUCCAGGCCCUUAAUCAUCUUUGUAGUCUUUCACUGGACUCUUUGUAGGAGAUCCCUGUGGUUUUUGAACUGGGGAGGCCAGAAUUGGACACAGUGUUCCAGAAGUGACCACUCCAGGGCAGCAUAGAGGAGGAGCAUCACCUCUCUAGACCUGCUGGCCACCUCAGGAUACCACUGGCCUUCUGGGCCACAAAGACACACUGCUGGGUCAUGGCCAACCCGUUGUUCACCAGGACCCCCAGGUCCUUCUCCACGGAGCUCCUCCCGACAGGUCACUGAUGAAGAUGUUGAACAAGAUCGGACCCAGCACUGACCCCUGGGGAACAUCACUAGUUACAAGCCUCCAACCAGACUGUGCUGCUGAUCACAACCCUCUGAGCUCUGCCAGUCAGACAGUUCUCAAUCCACAUCACUGUCCACUCAUCUAUCCCACACUUUCUCAGCUUCAUUACAAGGAUACUGUGGGAAACAGUGUCAAACACCUUGCUGAAGACAAGGCACUGCUA
ensembl:lncRNA